rnacentral:rRNA from 1 species
CCUACGGGUGGCAGCAGUGGGGGAUAUUGCACAAUGGGGGGAACCCUGAUGCAGCGACGCCGCGUGUGGGAAGACGGUCCUCUGGAUUGUAAACCACUUUCCCCAGGGACGAAAAUGACGGUACCUGGUGAGGAAGCUCCGGAUAACUACGUGCCAGCAGCCGCGGUAAUACGUAGGGAGCGAGCGUUGUCCGGAAUUACUGGGGGAAAAGGGAGCGUAGGGGGGGAUGCAAGCUGGGGGGCAAAACUACCGGUUCAACUGGUAGUCGCACUGGAAACUGCAGCGCUUGAGUGAAGUAGAGGCAGGCGGAAUUCCUAGUGUAGCGGUGAAAUGCGUAGAUAUUAGGAGGAACACCAGUGGCGAAGGCGGCCUGCUGGGCGUUUACUGACGCUGAGGCUCGAAAGUGUGGGGAGCAAACAGGAUUAGAUACCCGAGUAGUC